rnacentral:rRNA from 1 species
CCUACGGGAGGCAGCAGUGGGGAAUUUUGGACAAUGGGCGAAAGCCUGAUCCAGCCAUGCCGCGUGCACGGAUGAAGGCCUUCGGGUUGUAAACUGCUUUUGUACGGAACGAAAAGGUCUUUUCUAAAUAAAGAAGGCUCAUGACGGUACCGUAAGAAUAAGCACCGGCUAACUACGUGCCAGCAGCCGCGGUAAUACGUAGGGUGCGAGCGUUAAUCGGAAUUACUGGGCGUAAAGCGUGCGCAGGCGGUUAUAUAAGACAGUUGUGAAAUCCCCGGGCUCAACCUGGGAACUGCAUCUGUGACUGUAUAGCUAGAGUACGGUAGAGGGGGAUGGGAAUUCCGCGUGUAGCAGUGAAAUGCGUAGAUAUGCGGAGGAACACCGAUGGCGAAGGCAAUCCCCUGGACCUGUACUGACGCUCAUGCACGAAAGCGUGGGGAGCGAAACAGGAUUACGAUACCCUGGUAGUCCAACGCCCUAAACGAUGUCUACUUGGUUGUUGGUCUUCACUGACUCAGUAACGAAGCUAACGCGUGAAGUUCGACCGCCGNGGGAGGUACGGCCGCGAGGUUAGUUAAACGUUAACGUAAGUUAGUUAAGUAGUUCGGCGNGNGACGAGCGACGGACGACGACGAGGGAGNGG